rnacentral:rRNA from 1 species
UACGGAGGGAGCUAGCGUUGUUCGGAAUUACUGGGCGUAAAGCGCUCGUAGGCGGCGAAGUAAGUCAGGGGUGAAAUCCCGGGGCUCAACCCCGGAACUGCCCUUGAAACUGCUUUGCUAGAAUCCUGGAGAGGCGAGUGGAAUUCCGAGUGUAGAGGUGAAAUUCGUAGAUAUUCGGAAGAACACCAGUGGCGAAGGCGACUCGCUGGACAGGUAUUGACGCUGAGGUGCGAAAGCGUGGGGAGCAAACAGG